rnacentral:rRNA from 1 species
UGAGCAACCUGCCCUGGACCCUGGAAUAACAGCUGGGAACAGCUGCUAAUACCGGAUACGACCUCCGAUGGCAUCAUCUGGAGGUGGAAAGCUCCGACGGUCAAGGAUGGGCUCGCGGCCUAUCAGCUUGUUGGUGAGGUAACGGCUCACCAAGGCAACGAUGCGUAGCCGACCUGAGAGGGUNAUCGGCCACAUUGGAACUGAGACACGGUCCAGACCUCCG